AGAUGGCUGUUGAUACUUAUGCUGAGGGAAACACAUUUGGCGUUUCAGAGACAGUUUCUUUAAACUGCCUGAAUAUGUUCGUGAGAGUGCCCAAAAAGAUCAGAGACUGGCGUAAGAUUUCUCAGCUUGUAUGACCUGCCACUUCUAGGUUAAGGGCCUACUGAGGACACUUGGCCUACUGAGGACACUUGGCCUACAGGCCCCCAAAAUCCUGGAACUGAAUGUUCCUAGUGAAUCAGCUUAUGUGGUUCCUGCAACAUUUUCUCCUUGGAAGCUGUGCUAAUUACAGUGAAAACCACAGCUCUUGAAGAUCUCACGCUGCAUCAGAUCCUUGUACUGGAGAUGGCAGGGAUUGGAUGUGGGAGUUUCUACAUGCCAGUAUAUACCCUAAUCAAUCACUGACCUAUUGUCCCUCUCUGAUCUAGAAAUCCUGCACCAAAAGAGUUACAGGGACACCAUAUUAUCCCACAAAAAGUUCAUACACAGCUAGAGAAAGCCUGCUCUUGGGACUGAAAGAGAAUGCUAAACUCGGUAAGGGUGCUUCUAGAUGGAAAGCUCCUAGCACCACCCUAACGUUGUUGUUCUGCAGAAAACUACAAACAGAAUUGCCACUGAUUUUCCACACUUUGUGAUGCAUAGCACUUUAUCUGUUCAUACAUCGUGGUAGCCUUGGUAAAUGGCUUACCAUGAACACACAGACCAUUCCUGCUUUGCUGUUCCCCAUUAAUAAGCAAGAGCAACAAACCAUGAUUGGGAAGCCAAGACCAAACCUUUGCUUCAGAUUGUCCAAGGAAACCACAAUUCCUGGUUUAGACAUAACACUAAGUGAAGGAUCACGAUUUGUUGCUCCUGCUCACUAGUAGGGAGGAAUGAAGUGGGAGCAAUCUGCUUGUUCACAGUAAGCCAUUAACCAUGCAAUAGUAACUGAUUAAUGUUCUCCUUGCAGCCGCAAAGAAGAUUAUAGUUGAAAAUUAGGAACAAAACCAGAGCAACUUUAAGUUGGCAUACUUAACACAUGCCAUGUGUGGCAACCAGUUCACAAAGGGCACAAGUGAAGGCACAGUGUUUUGACCUAUAAAGCCCAUGCCAGCCAAUAGGGCUCUGAAGACUGGCUGGGAUUCAAAAUUAUAGUUAUCCUUUGUAUGCUAGAUAAGCUUAGAAAAGGCACAUGGAGCUGCAUUCUCAUUGGUGGAUUCACAAUUUUGGAAUUCCCUCACAACAUAGACUUGCCAGAGUCAGACUUUUGAGGGUUUCUUACACACACACACACACAUGGACUUAUAACCUGGACAUAGAUGCAGUAGAAAUGUAAGAAAGGAAUUGUGUCUGACCAAUAGAAUCAAGGCUGGGGCCUGUUGAGUGGGACUGGUACUCUCUCUCCCUCUCCCUCCCUCUUCCUUGAACAUGCAUUUACUCCAGGGAGGAUGUUUGA